rnacentral:rRNA from 1 species
GAUGAACGCUGGCGGCAGGCCUAACACAUGCAAGUCGAGCGGUAACAUUUCUAGCUUGCUAGAAGAUGACGAGCGGCGGACGGGUGAGUAAUGUAUAGUUAACCUGCCCUCUAGAGAGGAAUAACAGUUGGAAACGACUGCUAAUGCCUUAUAUGCCUUUAAGACAGAAGUCUGCAAGGGAAAUGCUUUAGUGCUAGAGGAUGGGACUGUAUGGUAUCAGUUAGUUGGUGGGUAAGUGGCUUACCAAGACAAUGACGCCUAACUGGUUUGUAGAGGAUGAUCAGUCACACUGGAACUGAGACACGGUCCAGACUCCUACGGGAGGCAGCAGUGGGGAAGUAAUUGCACAAUGGAGGGAAACUCUGAUGCAGCAACGCCGCGU